rnacentral:rRNA from 1 species
AGCUGCUGGGUCUUGAACUCAGAAAUCUGUAUGCCUCGUUCUCCUGAGUGCUGGCAUUAAAAGCAUGCACCAUCACCUAAACUUUUCUUUCCACGAGAUGAACUUGCUGGCU